UACCUCUCUUUACGAGAAAGGGACUUGAAUCAAGUCUAAGGUUUUUCCCGGAUGUGAGGGUUUGGUGGAACUAUAAGAGCCAAGAACGGUUUCCGUGUAGUCAGACUGCAUCCUGAAGACGUCGAGAACAGACCUCUAGACAUCUCAACAUUAAUUGCAUCUUAGGUACAAGUAUUCGUUGAAAAUUGUCCUGACAGUGAACCAAGCACAGAGGAGCGUACAUUGGCGUCACCUUCGGAGAAAGGGACACUCAUCUUGCCCCGUGGACAUGAACUCUCUACUACAGGUAGCCGUCUGCAUUGGACUGGUACUCUGCAUCGCGGUACCAGUGGCAGAGUCGGGAAUAAAUGAAUGCAGCAAAAGCUACUCCUACGUCAGUACUAGAUCUAGAACGGUCUACUACACGGAGCGAUACAGCUACAAAUGUGGA